rnacentral:rRNA from 1 species
GAUGAACGCUAGCGGCAGGCUUAAUACAUGCAAGUCGAGGGGCAGCAUGACUGUAGCAAUACAGUUGAUGGCGACCGGCAAACGGGUGCGGAACACGUACAGAACCUUCCUUCGAGCGGGGAAUAGCCCAGAGAAAUUUGGAUUAAUACCCCAUAGUACAACGGAGUGGCAUCACUUUGUUGUUAAAGAUUUAUCACUUGAAGAUGGCUGUGCGGCUGAUUAGGUAGUUGGCGGGGUAACGGCCCACCAAGCCUGCGAUCAGUAACUGGUGUGAGAGCACGACCAGUCACACGGGCACUGAGACACGGGCCCGACUCCUACGGGAGGCAGCAGUAAGGAAUAUUGGUCAAUGGACGAAAGUCUGAACCAGCCAUGCCGCGUGGAGGAUGAAGGUCCUCUGGAUUGUAAACUUCUUUAUAUGGGACGAAAAAAGGGUUUUCUAAACUCGUCUGACGGUACCAUAUGAAUAAGCACCGGCUAACUCCGUGCCAGCAG